rnacentral:rRNA from 1 species
AGCGAACGCUGGCGGCAGGCCUAACACAUGCAAGUCGAACGAAGUCUUCGGACUUAGUGGCGGACGGGUGAGUAACACGUGGGAACGUGCCUUUAGGUUCGGAAUAACUCAGGGAAACUUGUGCUAAUACCGAAUGUGCCCUUCGGGGGAAAGAUUUAUCGCCUUUAGAGCGGCCCGCGUCUGAUUAGCUAGUUGGUGAGGUAAAGGCUCACCAAGGCGACGAUCAGGAGCUGGUCUGAGAGGAUGAUAAGCCACAUUGGGACUGAGACACGGCCCAAACUCCUACGGGAGGCAGCAGUGGGGAAUCUUGCGCAAUGGGCGAAAGCCUGACGGAGCCAUGCCGCGUGAAUGAUGAAGGUCUUAGGAUUGUAAAAUCCUUUCACCGGGGACGAUAAUGACGGUACCCGGAGAAGAAGCCCCGGCUAACUUCGUGCCAGCCGCCGCGGUAA